rnacentral:rRNA from 1 species
GCGACACCAGGUGAGGCGGGAC